rnacentral:rRNA from 1 species
AUUGAACGCUGGCGGCAUGCCUAACACAUGCAAGUCGAGCGGAGUGGCGGACGGGUGAGUAAUGCCUAGGAAUCUGCCUGGUAGCGGGGGAUAACGUACGGCAAGGGGAGCUAAUACCGCAUACUAUCAGAUUAGCCUAGGUCGGAUUAGCUAGUUGGUGGGGUAAAGGCAUACCAAGGCGACGAUCCGUAACUGGUCUGAGAGGAUGAACCGCAACACUGGAACUGGGACACGGUCCAAACUCCUAGGGAAGGCGGAGGUGGGGAAUUUUGGACAAUGGGGGAAAGCCUGAUCCAGCCAUCCCGCGUGUGUGAGGAAGGACUUCGGUUUGUAAAGCACUUUAAGUAGGAAGGCGGUACCGGCAGAAUAAGCACCGGCUAACUACGUGCCAGCAGCCGCGGUAAUAC